CGCCUCGCUAGCGCCCAUUCAGCCCCGGACAGUUGGCUCCCCGGCGCGGCUGCUGAGGGGAGUGGGGGGUAGGCGGGGGCGGGGUCGCGCGUCACGAGGAUGCUGGAAGCCAAUCAGAGUGCGCCGAGGCCCCGCCUCCGAGCGGGCUGUCCCCUCCGACUGCUAGUGAGAAGGGGAGUGGGGCGACUCCAGCCCAGACGUAGCUGGGGCGCCAGGCAUCCUAGGACAAGGGUGCCCCGCGCUUGGGGAUCUCUCCAACUCUCUCCAGGCUUGCGCGUGAUUAGAUGGUGGAAGGCGUUCUGGGGAACCUAAGGUGGCUCGGGAGCGGUUAUAGGCUUUGACUGAGCAUCCAAUUAGGAAUCGGAGCCGGGGAAAUAAGGGGCUUGACGUAGUCACGUGCGUUAUUCGCCAGCUGUCCACUGGUCUUCAGUUACUGGUCCUGGGUUCCUGAGACCCAAGAGACAAACACCAGGGCAAGCUAGAUCAGCGAGCGGUUCUCAACCUGGGGGUUGAACAGCCUUUCACAAGGGUCGCUUGAGACCAAUGGAAGACACAUAUUUACAUUACGACUCGCAACAGUAGCGAAAUUACAGUUAUGAAGUGGCAACGAAAAUAAUUUUAUGGUCAGGGGUUACCACUACAACUUGAGGAACUGUAUUAAAGGGUCGCAGCAUUAGGAAGGUUGAGAACGACUGGGCUAGACGUUUGUUACUGUACUAGCUACCCAAGCCAAACAACUUGUUUUAACAGGAGAAGGAACUGAGAUCUGCGUGAGGCUGAGGAUUCCAACUUGCAAUACACCCUUAAGAAACUACCUCUUGGACUGGAGAGAUGGCUCAAUGGUUAAAAGCAUGUACUGUUUUCACAGAGGAUCUUGCAGGAUUCCCAGCACCCACCUCAGACAGCUUACAUCUCAAACCUAGUAACAACUCCAGCUCCAGGGGAUCUGACCUGCUCUUCUGGCCUAAGGGCACUUACAAACAUUGGCACAGGCACGGCAGACACAUAAUAAAUCCUUUUAAA